AUUGAACGCUGGCGGCAUGCCUUACACAUGCAAGUCGAACGGUAACGGGCCUUCGGGUGCCGACGAGUGGCGAACGGGUGAGUAAUACAUCGGAACGUGCCCGAUCGUGGGGGAUAACGAGGCGAAAGCUUUGCUAAUACCGCAUACGUUCUACGGAUGAAAGCAGGGGACCGCAAGGCCUUGCGCGGACGGAGCGGCCGAUGGCAGAUUAGGUAGUUGGUGGGAUAAAAGCUUACCAAGCCGACGAUCUGUAGCUGGUCUGAGAGGAUGAUCAGCCACACUGGGACUGAGACACGGCCCAGACUCCUACGGGAGGCAGCAGUGGGGAAUUUUGGACAAUGGGCGCAAGCCUGAUCCAGCCAUGCCGCGUGCAGGAUGAAGGCCUUCGGGUUGUAAACUGCUUUUGUACGGAACGAAAAGCCUUCUUUUAAUACAGGAGGGUCAUGACGGUACCGUAAGAAUAAGCACCGGCUAACUACGUG
rnacentral:rRNA from 1 species